rnacentral:rRNA from 1 species
CCUACGGGAGGCUACAGACGAGAAUCAUUCACAAUGGGGGAAACCCUGAUGGUGCGACGCCGCGUGGGGGAAUGAAGGUCUUCGGAUUGUAAACCCCUGUCAUGUGGGAGCAAAUUAAAAAGAUAGUACCACAAGAGGAAGAGACGGCUAACUCUGUGCCAGCAGCCGCGGUAAUACAGAGGUCUCAAGCGUUGUUCGGAAUCACUGGGCGUAAAGCGUGCGUAGGCUGUUUCGUAAGUCAUGUGUGAAAGGGGCGGGCUCAACCCGCGGAAGGCACAUGAUACUGCGAGACUAGAGUAAUGGAGGGGGAACCGGAAUUCUUGGUGUAGCAGUGAAAUGCGUAGAUAUCGAGAGGAACACUCGUGGCGAAGGCGGGUUCCUGGACAUUAACUGACGCUGAGGCACGAAGGCGAGGGGAGCGAAAGGGAUUAGAUACCCGAGUAGUC